rnacentral:lncRNA from 1 species
UUAUGAAUGACAAGACUUGGAAAUUUGUCCUUGAUGGUCUUAUUACUUACAAACUCCGUAAUUCAAGCAAAAUCUACAAGAUCUUUCAGCCUUCUUCACUAGCAAGAAUGAAGACAAGUAAGGUGACUGAUAAGGCAAAUAAAUCCUUGCUCAAGCAUCUCCAAAUAUAGGUUCUCUAACAGGAAUCAUAAGUUAAUUGGGAUUAAACUGUAAGGUAGACAAGCAUGGUUAAUUUAGAGCUGAACCUCGAGUUCCCUGUUCUGAAAGGACAUUUAAGGAAAGAAUAUGUCCCAACAACUUCCAUUCAAUGUGCAUAUUAAAUUGGCUCCCAAAAUAGCAUCAAAUUCACCUAAUGACAGAACAAUAAGUCCAAGUAGAAUAAGAGGUUCAUGGUAUUUAGGAACUUUAUCAUAUGUCGUAAACUCUUUAAGGUUUCUCCAAUUGACAACCAUAACUUGGAAUUUCAUCAUAAGUUUCCACAGUAAGCGUAGUUGGGAGGCAAAAGUCU